AUCAUAUGAUUAAUAAUCAUAAACAUAUUAUCAUAACCGCAAUCGAGAACAAGGGAUUUUUCUCUGGAUCUGUAAACUUGACUCUACAUUGUGCAUAUAUCAUCAUAUCAUAGUUGAGCUUGAUUGAUUUCAUCAUGCCUCCGAGAGAAAAAAGCCCUGGUUUGAAGAUCCUCUGGAUUUGGACCUUCGGAACCGCCGCUAUUCUUAUUGGGAAUGUUAUGAGGACCAGAUUAAGGGACUUUCAAAAUGUCAUGGACGCUGAAGAACAACAACAACAACAGCAACAAAAUGAUAUCGCUAAGCUUAUUGACACUCGUAUUCAAGAUGAGAGGAUAAUUGAAGAUUAAUUCGAUUUGAAGUUUGUAUUGAUAUUGAUGUUUACUGGGGUUUUGUUUUGUGUUUUGGUUUGAACUUUGUUCAGGAUAAAUGGGUACGCAAGGUGUUUGUUGAAUUGCCUAGCUGAAAACUCAAACUAUCACUUGUUAGUUUUAACUAUUUUGUAUUUUCAAAAUUUUAAAAUGCGUUUAUUUUA